UCACAGCACACCUCGCUUUUCAGACCGAUGAGCUGUGUAAAAAUCUACGUGUUUCAAAAACGCGGGGCAUAGAGGAGCAACAAUAAUGUACAAUAUGUGGAAAAUAAUGUGUUUUUUGAAACU